CACGUAGGCACCAAGCGUUGUCCGGAUUUAUUGGGCGUAAAGAGCUCGUAGGCGGUUCGGUAAGUCGGGUGUGAAAACUUUGGGCUUAACCCAAAGCGUGCAUCCGAUACUGCUGUGACUUGAGUUCGGUAGGGGAGUGGGGAAUUCCUAGUGUAGCGGUGAAAUGCGCAGAUAUCAGGAAGAACACCCGUGGCGAAGGCGGCUCUCUGGGACGGUACUGACGCUGAGACGCGAAAGCGUGGGGAGCGAACAGG
rnacentral:rRNA from 1 species